AACAGAACUUUGCAUCUUUCUCUCAACAUUUUUUUCUUCUUUGAAUUAAGAUUUUGCAAACCAUUUCUUUUCUGUCAAACUGAGAAUGGUUAGGAAAAAUAGAGCUGAAAUUUCCAGCACAACACUCUUAUUGUCACAUUUCCAGUCUAUCCAGUCAGAUAGGGAAUAAUUACAGCAUUGGGGAGCCCUUUCAGAUUUCAGUGGAGAUGGGGAAAUAGAUUUAAGCUCUGAUAAUUUCAAACACAGUUCCCUUGACACAGAAGGGACAUCCAGGAAGAGUGAUACAAAGUUCAAAGGCUGAAGCUCAACUUGAUUCAAAUUCCCAUCUGCCCUGAGGGUUUCUCCUGGCCCGAUCAAAGAGACGGAAGGGGAUGGCUUAGGAGUGUUAUGUACAAGUUAUUUCUAUUUUCUUGAGGCAGACAAGGAUAGCUACUUUUUCCAAAUGUCUUGUAAGUUUCCCAUUCCCCCCAUGCCGCCCCCCCGGAUUGUUUGAACACUAUGAUAGGAGUGCAGUCUGAAGAUCUGGAAGUUUACUUCUGCGCGUGUGUGUUUUAAAGACCCUUUUCCAAACAGCAAUCAACACUGUUAAAAAUUAAACAAGCUGCUCAGCCUUGCUGAGGCUGGUCUUGGAAGGCAGAGAUAACAGGGCUAGGUAGUUACCAUUUGGGCAGCUUGGCUCCUUCAGCAAAGAAAGGCCUCUUUGUUUUGAUGUUAAACAUUACAGGACUUGCCCCCUUUGUGGGAGAAUCUUUGCGGAGGUACAAGGCCUCUGGGUGCCCUUCAUGUUGAUAUUUCUAAGCCCAGAGGGCAGGAGGGUGUCCAUCCUGGGAGGAAAAAAUAAGGGGGGAUUCUCCUCCCUCCCCUGUCCCUCACUCCAGGGUUAAUCAUUCCCCCCACUCCAAAGUGUCAGGGUACACAGUUGCUUCUCUCUUUUUUGAAAAUUUAAGCUAAGCCUCUUGAUGUUAUAUAACAUUGCACAGCGUAAGAUUGCUUCCUUUGUUUAAUUAUUCCUAAGCUCCAAAGUUAGAAUGCAGGUAGGGUUUUUUUUUUCCUCCCCAAAAUUUCUGAAGAUAAGAUGGAGUUGGAGGAGGUAGGGUGGGGAGGUUGACUUUCUUUCAAGUUUUUAAACUCCAACAACUGCAAGAUCAUCCAGAUCAUAAUCCAUGCCAAUGCAUGGUACUUUUUGGAAAAAAAAAAAGACAGUUGUAAAAUCAGGGAUCAGGAUCAUGAGAUCUUCAGAGGAGAUGAGUUUCCCUCAGAAGCUGUUGCAUAAUAUUGUUAGGAAGGUUGCAAAGCCUUCUUGCAUUAACUGUCUCAAUUGGCUGGGAAAAAUAGCACUAGCUCAUCCCAAGCUUCCAUGAGGAAACAGAACCCACUGCACUGCUUAUUCUCUAUGUAGGAUCAUAUACGGACAGGCGAAUCUCUCUCCUGCAGAAAAUAGAACCGAGAGAUCCCAUCAUUCAAGAAUGCUACCCCUUGACUGUGCCAACCCUGCCAAAGGCAUGAUUUCUGUAUGCUUCAUUGGACACAGACUCUAUCAGAAGGACAUCUUGUAUAUCAUCUCAUGUAUUGUAUUGCAUCAAAUGUAAUCUAUCUAGUUUAUUAUGUUGAAUGUAUUGGACAUAAUGUACCGGACAUAAAGCCGAACAUGAUCAGUUUGUGAUGGAAUGGGUACAACUGUGCAGCGUGGAGUAUAAUGCACUCCUUGUAUUUGGUUAUGCGGAUUAGACCUGUCAUGUUUAAAACCUGAUUUAAUAUGUCUAUAAGCAAUAGGCACAGCCUCUGUAUGAAACAGCAGAUGUCAUGAAAUAAGAACCGCUACAGACUGUCCAGCUUCCUCUAUAUAUUUGGUUGUUUAUAUCAGCAUUCCAAUAAUGGUAGGUUUGGGGAUUGCUUCUUAGCAAUGAAAAAAGGGUUACAUUUUGUAAAAAUAAAAUUAAAAAACAA